CUGAGUUUUUUAGGAAGGGGCCAACACGCUGCAGACUCAUCGCCUACUUUGACUUCUCACAGGCUCGACCUGCACAAAACGUCCGUCUGGCUGGGAGCUUUUUGAGAAAAAUUGUUACUUCUUCUCCAUGGUGACUAAAAGCUGGGGGCAGGUGAAGCAGGCCUGCAUCGACCAAGGGUCUCGCCUGGUGAUCGUCAACACCAAUCUGGAACAGCCUCGGCCCCUUCUGGGGACUCUUUACUCCAGUGGAGCAAGAUUUCCCCAACAAUUUGGUGUCAGAAGUGGAAUAGCUUGGAACGCCAGUUGGAAAGUCUGACGACGGGGAACAGGAACGGACUACAGCGCGCAUCUGGAGGGAGGAGACUCACAGGCUAAUGGCCACACGGAAAGAAGAAACCUAGACAUAAAACGGCGGUUAGGAAAGCUUGCACCUGCAGAUGAAGGAAGCCCUCCCAGUACCUACUGAUGUACCGUGCCACAACAACCCACCAGGCGACUACGUGUUUGUGAAGGAACCUCGCAGAAAGAACUGCCUGGCAGCCCGGUGGGAAGGACUGUUCCAAGUGCUGCUCGUCACCCACACAGCAGUAAAGGCGAAGGAGCCUUUCUGAGAUUUAAAAAGUGAUCUUGGGUGUAAAAAGGUUGGAGGCCACUGGUAUAAAGGAUCCCUGAAACUGUCUCUCAGGGCUGCUGCUGCUCUCACUCUGGUAGCUGU